rnacentral:rRNA from 1 species
GACGAACGCUGGCGGCGUGCCUAAUACAUGCAAGUAGAACGCUGAAGGAGGAGCUUGCUCUUCUGGAUGAGUUGCGAACGGGUGAGUAACGCGUAGGUAACCUGCCUGGUAGCGGGGGAUAACUAUUGGAAACGAUAGCUAAUACCGCAUAACAGUAGAUGUUGCAUGACAUUUGCUUAAAAGGUGCAAUUGCACCACUACCAGAUGGACCUGCGUUGUAUUAGCUAGUUGGUGGGGUAACGGCUCACCAAGGCGACGAUACAUAGCCGACCUGAGAGGGUGAUCGGCCACACUGGGACUGAGACACGGCCCAGACUCCUACGGGAGGCAGCAGUAGGGAAUCUUCGGCAAUAGACGGAAGUCUGACCGAGCAACGCCGCGUGAGUGAAGAAGGUUGUCGGAUCGUAAAGCUCUGUUGUAAGAGAAGAACGAGUGUGAGAGUGGAAAGUUCACACUGUGACGGUAUCUUACCAGAAAGGGACGGCUAACUACGUG